rnacentral:rRNA from 1 species
UGGGAAGAAUAAGAUGGGGCUAAUACCCCCGUCGAUGACGGUACCAUUUGUAAGCUCCGGCUAACUCCGUGCCAGCAGCCGCAGUAAUACGGGGGGAGCAAGCGUUGUUCGGAUUUACUGGGCGUAAAGGGCGCGUAGGCGGCGCAACAAGUCACUUGUGAAAUCUCCGGGCUUAACUCGGAACGGUCAAGUGAAACUGUCGUGCUAGAGUACAGAAGGGGCAACUGGAAUUCUCGGUGUAGCGGUGAAAUGCGUAGAUAUCGAGAGGAACACCUGCGGCGAAGGCGGGUUGCUGGGCUGAUACUGACGCUGAUGCGCGAAAGCCAGGGGAGCGAACGGGAUUAGAUACCCCGGUAGUCCUGGCCUUAAACGAUGGAUGCUUGGUGUCUCGGGUUUAUAGUCCCGGGGUGCCGGCGCUAACGCAUUAAGCAUCCCGCCUGGGGAGUACGGUCGCAAGACUGAAACUCAAAGGAAUUGACGGGGACCCGCACAAGCGGUGGAGCAUGUGGUUUAAUUCGACGCAACGCGAAGAACCUUACCUGGGCUAGAAUGCCUCUGACAGCCUGAGAGAUCAGGUCUCCUGGGUAAAACCAGGCAGAGUGCAAGGUGCUGCAUGGCUG